CAUUUUCCAAUGGAAUAAAAUUUUGAUUUACACAAAACACUAACAAUGAAUCUGAUCACAAGAAAACAAUAUUAGAAUCAAUUACUUGUCAAGAAUCAAAUUGCAUGUUAUAUACCUAUCAUGUAUCUAUGGAAUUAGUUUAUCCUAAUCAAAAAGAAAAAGGCUAUUUACACAAAUAGUUAGUCCAAAUAAACCCUUCAAUCAUCUGCAACCGCCAGGUUGUACUUUCUUGCCAAAGUAUGGGCAGUUUUGUCAUCCAUAAUGCCAUCAAUCAUCCUAAACUUUUUGUAAUGCACUUUAAGAGUUUCAGCCUGCUGGGCUGCCAACUUCUCUUCUUCUUUUAGCAGCACCUAAAAAAAUGCACUUAGAAUAACUUAACACAGAAUCUCUCAUAGAAUACAUCAACAAACAUAAUUUUAAUCAGUGGCAGUACAUGAGUUAAUAUAAAGUGUUGCUAAAUAGUGGCUUUAGCUACAAUAUAGCACUAUAGGGCAGUGGAAUUUGAAUAAACCGUUAUAAUCUGCGAUCCGGAUUGACUACAAUGCUUUUAAUGAUUUAACAAGUCAGUUUGGCACCACAGAGGUGACUAGAUGAUCUUCCAUACAAAUUAAAAUAAGAGUGUGUGUAAUCUACUACGAAGCAAUACCAUUUAGAGUUCAAACAUAUAUACUAUCAACUGUUAAAAAAUAUGAAAAAAGUGAGUUCUUCAGCCAGAAGAAGUAAAAGGAUGCAUUUUGAUUUCAGUUUUUGCAUCAGUAAUAUACAAUUUUUUUUUAGGGAGAGGGUUUUUUUUUACUUCAACUCUCCCAAAACAAACACAUUUUAAACAUGAGUGCUUCCUUCCAGUAAUUUCCUCUCACAGAACAAUGUCAGGGUAUGGAUUAUACAGAGCAAACUGGCUUCACAUGACAUAUGGUAGUGAUAAAACAAAUCAACCGAUGUAACAACCAGUUUCUUGAAAAUAAAUAAAAUAAAUUAUCACAAUCCUGUAUUAACAAAUCAACCGAUGAUCCAAACAGUUUUUUGAGUUCCACCUCCUCGUAGAAUUUGAAAUCCAUAGUUUCUGAUAUUUUUGAUAUGAAAAGACCAUUUUUUUUCCAUCUCGACAUUUUGCCUAUUUAAAAUGGAUACAAAGUCAAAAGAAUAACAAAGUGUAUAUGGUGAAUUAAAUUAAAAAGAAUUACAAGCGCAACAAGUCUCCGCGUCCACACAUCCAAACGUGGGGCCUGCAACUGGACCAUGCAUCAACUUUGUGGAAGUGGAACAAACAGCCACAUCCUUCUGGUUGUGCGAGAGGGUGGUCAUGAAUGAGAAAGGUUUCAGGUCAGAUGUAAGCAGACAGAAACACGAUUGCAAUAUGUAUCAAAAAAGGCAUGCGCUUUUCAACAUAAAACACUGUAUGUUAUCAUUGUUUUUACUAUUCAAAUGGAAAUUUUCUAUAAACAGAUUGGUGAAUGUUGUGCACCUGGCUACAAUAACAUCUCAUCUCAGCUGCCAAUCAGGAAAUUGUCACAUAAGGAAUGUGAGAAAUUGUAUGCCAACGCUCGCCUUGCUCCGUUUGGUACAACUGCUUAAUUAAUGGACAAUCAUGAAUUGACAAAGUAGAAAGGGAGCUGGGUAGACCCUCCUCUGGCAAGCUCUCAAGACAAGGGCAAUCUUCAAUAUAUAGAGAUUUGAGUGAAGUGAGGUGGAGAAGACCCUUGCAGUUUAUUUUUCUUAGGUUGGGACAAUUUGUCAACUCAAAAGAGUUAAUACUUGAUGGCAGCAUACUCUCCUCUGGAAAGGAUUCCAAGAUUUCAAAAUCAUCACUAAGACUGAAUUGUUUCAGAGAUUUGAGUUGGAACAAACCCCACUCCUCUAUUGUAGCCAUCAAAUUACGGCAUCUUUCUAUUCGGAGGCUGCUUAGGUUGGAAGGCAACUGCCUCUCAAAAAACGAUUCCAGCCACGGACAAUUGUACAACACGAGAGAAUUAAGAUUGGUGAACAAAUGUAGUGCAAAAGGAAAGGAAGAAGAGUGCCAACCUGUUAUAGUUAAAGUGCGAAGGGAAUUACAGCUACACAUAUUCAAAGAGGACCAUUCUAGAUUUGGACCAAAGAAGUCUUCAACUUCCAGUUCUUCAAGAAAGGCACUGCUAACUAGAAUUUUCUCUAGGGUGGUUUCAAUGACAUGAGUUCCACAAAGGAUGGCCCUUUCCAAGCUUGAUGGCAAUUUAUUUAUAAAAAUGCCAUCACAUCUCUUUAGCUCUAUAUCACUGAUAUUAGCAGCAUUAGGAAUUGAAGCCUCCAACUCUUGGCAAUCAAUAAUCUCCAAUUUUAGCAAAGAAGGGAGGUGAUAAGGCAGGGUACUUUUCAAUUUGGGACAAUGAUUUAGAGAAAGCUCUUUAACUAAAGGGAAACCAUCAAGACAUAACCAUUCCUUCCAUUCAGACAUGUUCUUGAAACACAAAGUUUCAAGGGAUCUAAAUGGAACAUUUGCUGAAUUAUAGCGGCAAAACUCUGAACCAAUGAUCUCUACUCCAUGACAGCCUGAAAUGGAAAGCUUCUUGAGAGAAGGGAACUGCCCAAGUGGUGGCAACUGGGAACAGUGUGUACAUCCCAACAAUUCAAGAGAUAAUAAAUUGGCUAGAUGAUGAUGAUCCCCAAGCCAAUUAGGAAAGCUACUACCUCUGUAGUCAUUGAUGCUGAGCCUCGUGAGAUUUCUAUUUGGUCGCAGAGCCUCCAAGACCGAGAAACAUGCUUCAGUUACUGAGCCAUCCAUUUCUCUCCAUUCAUCAUACGACAAACUUAAUUCUUCUAAAUGUUUCUUAUGUUUCAAAUUUGCUGCCAUAGCAUCUGCUGGAUCAGCCACAUUUUUCAACCCUGAAAUUUGAAGCCUUCCUUUAAGGUGGUUGAGUUCUGCCAACUGCUUAAUAUCAAAUCCAUGUUGCUCUCCCACAACAAAAUCGGUCAGCAUCUCAAGGUUUAUUAACCCUCUCAUCUCCUUUGGCAUCUUCUUAAUAUGUGUGCCUUUCAAAUUAAGAUGACGUAAAUUGACGAGUUUGCAAAAAUUUGAUGGGAGCUCAGUCAAUUUAAAACAUUCUUCCAGUAAGAGGGUAUGCAAACUAUACAGCUUACAAAUGGAAUUAGGUAAGCUUGUAAUCUCUGUGUAAGAAAGGUCUAGAUAGCGCAGAAGCUUUAAAUUUCUUAUCUCAUCAGCUAGCUCUAAGAGAUUGCAACCCGAGAAAGACAACAUUCGCAAAUAUUUUAGUCUUAAAAACAAAUUAAGCUGCACAUCGGUGCGUACCUUAAAGCGUUGGUCACCAUAGCCUUGUGCUUCUACCAUCAGACUGUGUAGUCCCUUGAUUUUUUUAACAUUCUCUAGUUUUCUAUCACCAUCUUCCAAAUCAAGGCAGCACCAUACGUGACGUGUCCUUUUAGGUAUAUCUUUCAUGUUAUCACCCUCUAUUCGUAUUCGCAAUCGGAACUCUCCUGACACUGAUUUCGCUAAAUCAUUGACAAGAUCAUGCAUGAUAAAGUAGCACUUACCGGUCCAUAAUGGCAUCAAUACUGAUUGUUGGAAAAAUGACAUUGACACUAGUUGAUCGAAGAAUUCAUUCCCUAACUCUUCUUUGCUUUUGUUUCUUCCGCAACAAUUUAACAAACCUUCUGCCAUCCAAAGCCUGAUUAAUUCACCCUCCUCAAACUCAUAACCCUUGGGAAGAUUAGACCAACAAGCAAAACAACGCUUCAGAUUGGGAGGGAGGCUAAGGUAAUGCAUCCUCAGAGCAAAAUUAAUGCAGUUGUCACCCUCGGGUAAACACCACAAAUCAGUCUCCAAUAUCUCAACCCAUUCAGUUACAGAGAAUUUUCUUUGGAAGAGAAUCCCCAAUGUUUUCAGAGUUAAAGGCAACCCCCCACAUUUUGCUACUAUUUUCUUGCCAAUCAAUUCAAGAUUUGGAUAUUCAAACACAUUCUUGCCUUGAAAAGCAUAUCUCACAAAUAAACUCCAAGAGUCACUCUCCUCCAAUUGCUUUAAAUGAAGUAGUCGUGUGGAUCUCAUAACUAACGCUACCUCACUGUCAUGUGUUGUCACGAUCAUCUUACCUCGAGAAGAUCCACGGUUAAGAGGAAGUAGUAAAUGCUCCAGCAUAUUUCCAUUUUUUAUCCCGACAUCAUCUAGAACAAGCAAAUAUUUCUUCCCUGCUAGCUGCUGUUGCAAUUGACUGUUGAGUAUUUCCGUGCCUUCAUCACCUACUUCUGCUGAAGAAAUUGACCUGAGAAUUGAUUUGAUGAGAUGAUCAUAAUUAAAAGUUUCUGAAACAUGGACCCAAGCUUUAAAUUCAAACUGCUCCUGUAUCCUAUGGUCAUUGUAAACAAGCUGGGCAAGGGCUGUCUUACCAAUCCCCGUCAGACCCACUAUACUGAUUAUGGGUAGCUGGUUCUCACCGUGACUAUCUGAAAGUAAAAAAUCAAUCAUUUCCUCUUGCUCAUGCUCUCUACCAUAUAUGACAUAUUCAUGCCCCAAAGAUGCAGCUGAAAAUCUGCUGGCUCCACCUUCAUGAAGUCCCAAUCUUUCCGUUUGCUCUGCAAAACCUACGAGCCUCUUGAGCAAUACUUUAAUCCUAGAUUCAAACCGAUUGAUAGAACCUGAAAGAAAGCGUUGUAUCUUUCCCUUUUGAUUUGCAGAGUCACUAGCAAUGAUGUCCAACAGUUGAUCUAAUUCGUAUACCUCAUUACUCGCAUCAUCAACCCAAUUCUUCACGUUUUGAUUCUCGUACUUCUUUGUCUCUGCGUCAUCCAGCACUUGAUUGAUAGAAACCAGUGUGAUUUCAAGUUUUUUCCCCAGCUCUUCACGGACGUAGCCUCCGAAAUCUGUUGAAGAUAACCUCUCACAAAUCUCUUGGAUGAUAGGGGAAAGAAAUGCCAUGAUAUUGAACAAAAACAAAAUUAUCACAGAUGAGCGAGCGUGGUUUCUGGGAGGCUGGCUGACUUAUAUGCAAGAAGACCAGUUUCAUCAACCAAUCCGAUAACCAAAUGCUGUAGAAAUUUCACGCAGUUACACACUUCAGUGGAUGUCAAACGUAGAUUUCGAUUCUUCCUGGUUAAAAGAAAAAAAAUUAUUAAUUUUGAACAGAUUCUUUUUCAAUAUUUUUUUAAAAAACUUCUUGUUCAAUAUUAUAGUCUAAAGUGAAAUUCUAUAUUUCACAAAUAAACAAAACCAAGUUAGAUCUUAAAUAUGAAAGAGUACUUGAAUUUAGGUUGAGAAAUUAAAGGAUCGAUGAAGAAGUGCAAAAACAAAUUACAAUUUAAAAUUCAUCAAUUUUUUUAGUAGGAAUCAAAGUAUAACUAUAAAAUUAUUAUUUUAAUCUUAACUAUAAAAGCACAAGGGAAAGCCACCAAUUAAAGAUAUGAAGGCUUGAAUAUAUUAGAAGAUGGGAUGUAUAAUUCAGCUGUUACGACAUGAGCAAGUAAUCACAAGAAAACAUUCUAUAAAUAACAGGUUGAUAUAUAAUAAAAAUCUUAUAUCAAACUUUGAUAUAAAAAAUAAAAUCUUAAUGUUCAAUGAACAGAAGAAAAUGAAGAAACAUUUGGAAGAAAAUCUUACCUCUAGAAUUAAUGGUUGCUGUGGAGUUCAACAGUGACUGAACACGAGAGCAUGCAAGAUUAGGUUGGAUGCUUUUUUUUAGGCAAUAUUAAGUAGGAUGGCAAUCAGUCGCGGAGCCAGAAAAUUUAUUUAUGAGGCUGGGCGAAAAAUUAAUCGUGUGAUAUAAUGAGUUUUUCUGAUUACACCCAAAUUUUUUUUAAAAAAAAUUUAUAAUACUAAAAUUGCCAUUUUAUAUAAAUUUUCUUAAAACCCUAAUUUUAUUCAUUGUCAGUGAGUUUCACCCCACAAAGCUAUCGAUCAAACAAUUUGAUGUUCAAUAUCAAUCUCCAUGAAAAUUAAAGAGUGAAUCAAAAUAUUUUUCAUCCAUCCUCAAUUGGAUAUAAGUAAGUGAAUUUCUUCUUCUAUUUGCUAGUUUCAAUUUUUUUCCUUCAACUGCAAUGAUGCACUGUACGAUUACGGUUUUAAUUUACAUUGGCAAUGUUAACUUAAACUCAGUUUAAGUAGGUUCAUGUAAACUCAGUUUAAGUAGGUUCAUGUAAACUCAGUUUAAGUAGGUUCAUGUUAACUCAAUUUAAGUAGGUUAAUGUAAACUCAGUUAAAGUAGGUUCAUGUAAACUCAGUUAACAUGAACCUACUUAAACUGAGUUUACAUGAACCUACUUAAAUUGAGUUAACAUGAACCUACUUAAACUGAGUUUACAAAAUCGCAGAACUGUGAAUCGCAGAACAAGGAAAACACAAAAUCAGAACUAAGAACCCACAACAAGAAAAACACAAUCGAUUGAAGAACAACACUUGCUAACCUGAUUUGCUUCGAAUUUUCUUUGAAAUCAUGAAUGGACGUGAGAAAGUAUGGUUUUGAAAAUCUUCGUAGAACACAAUCGAUCGAUUGGAGAAUUAUGGUUUUGGAAGAACGGUUUUGGGGUGUAAUAAAAAAAGAAGGAAUAGGCUUUUUGAAAAUCAAAUUUUAGGAAAGGGUAAUCUUGUCAUUUUGGGGUGCAAGUAGAAAACUCUGACAUAAUAUAUAAACAGUCAUAAAUCGAUUUUUUUUUUAAUUUUUAUUAUUUUACCUAAAAAAAUCAAAAUAAAUGAAGUUUAUCAUUUUAUCAACAAAAGUACAAUUUAAAAUAGGGUUAUUAAUUGAAAUUAACCACGUAAUAUACGUGAAGUCUGAAAAUUGACCUUGUAAUUAAAUAACAUGUAUUCUGACCAUGUAAUUCGAGAUUUUUAUUUAUUAUUUAUAACCUGUAAUAUACGUGAAGUCCAAAAAAGCAACUGAGAGAUUGAAUUUUUUCAUGAUUUCCCAGCGGCGAGUUAAGAACGUUAAAAUAUGGCUUUAACAAAAAAAUUAUAAAUUUUCGACAAACGACAAAUUAAUUAUGAAUUUUUAAAGUGUCAAAAGCUCAAAAAAUAAAACAACAGAAAUCUCGAUCUAUAAAUCAAAUUUUGAGCUCAUUAUUUGUAAAGACAUCUAUAAAAAUACAUAAAAGGGAUUUGUAAAGUUUCAUAGCAUUUCGAAGUCGUUUAAAUUUAUUUUGAUUUUUCAACUGAAACGUGCAAAAUUGAAAUUUUGUUCCGCGUAAGCGUAUACUCACAAGUCAAAUUUAGUUCCCUAAUUUUGUAGGCAUGACUAGAACAUGAUAAGAAACAUUCACAAUGAAAUUUUGUAAAUUUUAAACGAGAUACAAAUUAAUUAUAAAUUGUUUAAGAAAUUCAUAAUUAUGAGGGAAUAAAAAUUCAUAAUUAAUUUAUCCCUGGUCGAAGAAAUUUAAUUUUAUGUAAAGCUAUAUUUUAACGUGCUAAACAUGUAAGAAAAAAAUAGUGAAAAAAUUCAACAUUUAGGUCACAUGUUUAGACUACACGUAUAUUAUAGGGUGGUCAAAAUUAAAUAAGAAGAAAUUCAAGUUGCAAUGUUAGAAUAUAUGUUUUGUAUUUUAUUGGGUCAUUUUUCAAACAUAAAGUAUAUUACAGAGUCAAUUUGAACAAUUAACCCGUUAAAAUAAGAUAGAUGAAACUGUCAAUAGUGUGCUAAAUAAAAUUCCAAGACCUAUUUACGUGUGACAAUUUUCAGAUUGCCCAAAUUUUUCUUUUUGUAAAUGUGUUAAUGGGCUUUUGGGUUGAGUCUAAUGUGCAAAAAUUAUCGAUCGAGUCCGGACGACCGCCCGGGAUCGCUACACGGUAGAACCGCCCAUGAUGUCAAUCAUAGUGCGUUGAUGCCCUUUUAAAUCAAAAAGAAAAAGGUUUAAACAAAUGUAAAAUUGCUCCCGACAAAAAAAAAAACACUCACUCUCAUACAAUCCGACUAAAACAGGCUCCCACGUGACUUAAGUAUGUACGUGUUAAAUUCAAAGUGACCUAAGUCACGUUCGCUAUAUUGGUACAUCUCACGUGAGUUAACUCACGUAGAUUAUAAUCUAACGUGAGUUAACUCAUGUAGAUUAUAUUUCAACUUACCGAACUUAAGUUAACUCACAUAAAAGGUAUUUUCGUUAGUUUGCAUGAGAGUUGACGUUUUUUGUUGGGAGAAGAGUAGUUUUCAAACAAGUGGUAGGAAGGAAGGUUCCACUUGGUCAACAAUCAACAUGACCCAAGAACAAGAAGGUUGUUACGAAACUACUUGCAUAGAGGUGGACCCAUGUGGUAUCAACUAGCUAGUUUCAUCCAGUCUGGGGAGUGGGUGAUGGUCCAGAUUGCCCGCUGUGUGGCUUCCCUAGAACCAGUCACCAGGCUAAGUGUGAGAUAAGGUGGAAAGAGGAAAGGGAGGUGUGAAUAGGGUAAUAGUCAAGGCUGAUUGUGAGAUGUGUGAUAAGGUGGCCUAUUUUGAAGAGACUCAUACACACAGCCAGCGGGCCUUCCAAUUCGAUCCAAUUGCUCAAACACACCUGGAAAAUACAAUUUUGCCCCCAACAGUAGCAUACUAUCGUCCGGCCUGUGCUGCAACGGUAGUUACCUAUCAUUGUCCCAGCGGUAGUUAGCCUGUCAGUUUUGCAGACAAUGCUUGCUGUAAAUUCAACCAAGCCAAAGUCUGGUUACAUAAGGGAUUUCAACCAAAAUGCGAAAAUGGAUCAGCAUACACAUACUCACUUGGAUUUCCACCAACAUCUUUAUGUAUUGCAAAAUGUGUUACAAAAUAUAACCAAGUUUGUUCAGCUUCUCAACAUUACAGAUCUCUUAGAAUAGAGAAAAGAUGGCUUCCAUGGAUAGUUGGAAUGAGAUUCUGUAUGGGUCAAUCAUGACUCAUGGGUUGGAAUUAAUUGAUCACCAUUCAACAAUGGUUUACAUGGAUGUUACAUUUUGCAUAGUCCAUGAGAAAACUUAGUUACCAAUAAUCUCAAAUACAAAUCAGUUUCAUCAAAACAAACGACUACACAAAAGGAGAUAUUAGGACAUGUUAUUUGAAAUAAUUCAAAAUCCCAUUAUUGAUGAAAUUAUAACCAAAAUAAAAUUCUACCUCCAUUAAGUUUGGAUAUUUUUGUAGCUUUUCAAAAUUGUUGUAAUUGGAACUUUGGAAGGUUUAAAUCUAUUAUGUUGUUCCUUAAUUUGGGAUAUGAUCAAGGUUUCAGAAGGAAAACACUUCCACUCAAAUUCAACCAUAUUUCAGAACGUGUGUAACAGAGUAAUGUAUAGAUUAAAAAUGUUGAUGUCAAACUAAGAAGUGAUGGUGUCUAAAAAAUUCAGCGAUAAAAAUUUAAGUGAAUAGAUUACCAUGCACAGAGAAAGGAUAAUCCAGAAAACUGUUCAUAAGGAUAGAAAAGUAACUCUACUUCAAUAAUUGCAUUUCGUGUGAGUCUUAUUUUUUGGCAAUUUGUAGUAUUUUCCAAUGGAAAAAAUAUUCGAUUUACACAAAACACUAACAAUGAAUCUGAUCACAAGAUAACAAUUUUAGAAUCAAUUACUAGUCAAGCAUCAAAUUGCAUGUUAUAUACCUAUCAUGUAUCUAUGGAAUUUCUUUUGCAGCAGUAGCAGGGUGCAAAUUAGUUUAUCCUAAAAAAAUAAAGAAAAGGCUAUUUACACAAAUAGUUAAUCCAAAUGAACCCUUCACUCAUCUGCAACAGCCAGAUUGUACUUUCUUGCCAAAGUAUGGGCAGUUUUGUCACCCAUAAUGCCAUCUAUCAUCCUAAACUUUUUGUAAUGCACUUUAAGAGUUUCAGCCUGC
rnacentral:lncRNA from 1 species